UCGCUCCGCCUCCCCUCGCCCAACCUCCUCGCUCCGUUCUUCUCACGCCAACUGCAGCGCAGCCGCCGGCGCCGUCGAUUCCGACGCCCUGCCUUUGCCGCCGGCGCCCCUCCCAGCCGACCGCCUCCAGAUCGACGCCGCCGCUCCCAGACGCCGCCGCCGUCGCCUCGCCUCGCCCGAUCCCGGACGCCGCCGCGACUCACGCCGACGCCCCGACCCCACGCCAACCGCUACGCUGCCUCGUCCCUCACGCCAAUCGUCGAUCCACAUCUACGACCGCCGGCUUUCUCCUCCGCGGGCGCUGCUGACCGCCGAUCCACAUCCACAUCGAGGACAGCCAAGGAAGCCAGCGACAACCUCCUCUGCGGGCGCUGCCGACAGCCUCCGCCGCCCGCAUCGCCGAUCUACUCCACGCCGACUAUCUCCUCCGCGUCCCUGGAGGCGAGCCACCAACAACAAGGAUUUGCGACUUCAGGAUAUAUUGACUUGUUGAAUACCGCCAUCAUCGCCACAUCAGCCCGGCUGCCAUCUGGUUUCUUUUGCCCUGAUGUGAUGAACACAUCUGAAGGAGAGCAGCAGAGUAUUCAAGUACAUGUGGCAAAGCAGCAGGUUAGUACAUGUAUUUUUCUACUGCAAGAUCAUUCACAGUGUCUAAAAUUUUCUACUCGUUUGCAGGUGAGGAUAAUCAUUUUAUCACCAUAGUCAAAAGUAUGCCCCAAAAAUUAUUGCCAGUGGUUGAUUAGGAGACAAUUAGAUUGAAUAUCUUUAUAGAAAUAGAUGGAUAUUGUGUACUUCAGUCCUUGCAUGCUUUCAGAUUUGUAUGCUAAAUUUUCCUGUAGAUGCAUAUGCUGAAUGUUUCCUGUAAAUGCUUAUACUGAUUUUUUUUAUAUACAAAAGUAUAUACUGCAAUGUCUCCUAUGUGCCAUUUUUUUUCACCAUUACGAGC
rnacentral:lncRNA from 1 species